rnacentral:rRNA from 1 species
GAUGAACGCUAGCGGCAGGCUUAAUACAUGCAAGUCGAGGGGUAGCAAGAUUGUAGCAAUACAAUUGUUGACGACCGGCAAACGGGUGCGGAACACGUACACAACCUUCCUACAAGUGGGGAAUAGCCCAGAGAAAUUUGGAUUAAUACCCCGUAACAUAGCGAUGUGGCAUCACAUUGCUAUUAUAGCUUCGGCGCUUGUUGAUGGGUGUGCGGCUGAUUAGAUAGUUGGCGGGGUAACGGCCCACCAAGUCUACGAUCAGUAGCUGAUGUGAGAGCAUGAUCCGCCACACGGGCACUGAGACACGGGCCCGACUCCUACGGGAGGCAGCAGUAAGGAAUAUUGGACAAUGGACACAAGUCUGAUCCAGCCAUGCCGCGUGAAGGAUUAAGGUCCUCUGGAUUGUAAACUUCUUUUAUAAGGGACGAAAAAAGGUCUUUCUAGAUCGUCUGACGGUACCUUAUGAAUAAGCACCGGCUAACUCCGUGCCAGCCGCCGCAGUAAUAC